UACGGAGGGGGCUAGCGUUGUUCGGGAUUACUGGGCGUAAAGCGCACGUAGGCGGCUUUGUAAGUUAGAGGUGAAAGCCCGGGGCUCAACUCCGGAAUUGCCUUUAAGACUGCAUCGCUAGAAUUGUGGAGAGGUAAGUGGAAUUCCGAGUGUAGAGGUGAAAUUCGUAGAUAUUCGGAAGAACACCAGUGGCGAAGGCGACUUACUGGACACAUAUUGACGCUGAGGUGCGAAAGCGUGGGGAGCAAACAGG
rnacentral:rRNA from 1 species